GUUCCUGUAGUUGAAUUACAACGGUGGUUUUUCAAGUCACUGGUCUCGGUUGGACCCCGGGUGGGAAUU
rnacentral:tRNA from 1 species